GAGAGACAGAGAGAGAGAGAGAGAGAGAGAGAGAGAGAGAGAGAGAGAGAGAGAGAGAGAGAGAGAGAGAGAGAGAGAGAGAGAGGAGUGGUGGUGUCCGGCGCUUAUUUGCAUCAGUUGUGCGAGGACCUUUCACGGACGACGUGUUGAAUUUCCAGCUUUCAAUGUCUUCCUCAACAAGUGUGUGAGCAAACACAGGCAUCAGUACUCUGCCAGACGAUCAUAACAUCUUGGGAACAUCCUCUGGACAAGCUUUGACACACCCCUGAAGAGCAGCUUUCGCAACUGGCCGUUCAUUCAAUCCAUGCAAAUGACUAGUAGGAAUAUAUCAGCAAAGCAAGACCGUGUCUGAAUGGCAGAAUUACUUAAUGGAAAAAGAGAAGGCUUGGGGAAAUUGUAAUCAUUAACACUACGACAACUCACAAAGGCUAUUCUGACCAGAUUGGACCGUCUGACAACAAUAUUCGUCCAGGACCACCAACAUCCAGAGGACCAGAACCUGUAACCCCACAACAGCCUCAGACCUCAGACGCUUCAAUGAAGGCCAGAGCUGUGCCCUCCCAGUGCCCCUCGGAUGGUAAUGGUCAUAUCUGGAUUCGAACCCUCAACCCGCUGCUCUCCAUGAAGAGGUUCGGCAGCCUGAGGCGGAGCAAGAAGCGCAAGGAGCAGGAUGGGUUGGCUGCAAGGCGUCAGUCCGAGCCACCUUCUCUACCUGUGUCUGGACUCUCCUCCUCACCAACCACCCCCACACAGGCCCCCAGCCAGCCCCUGUUCCCCCCUGAGGUCCACCACAGUGCCCCCGAGCGCCUAGAUGUCCGCGCCUGCUCUCGCUCGCUCUCCUCCCCCCCAAACACGGCCCAUCACCUCAACUUUCCCACCAAGCCCCCCAUUCCCUCCUCUAGCCCUCUGCCCAACACUACCUUACAAGUCUACGGUUUAUUCGAAGGCAUGCUGGAAAAACUUGAACUAGACGAUGAUGCUGCUGUAGAACCAGAGAGUGAUAUUUACAUGCGCUUUAUGAAGUCCCACAAGUGCUACGACAUUGUCCCCACCAGCUCCAAGCUUGUGGUGUUUGACACAGCACUACAAGUAAAGAAAGCAUUCUUUGCCUUGGUGGCCAAUGGGGUGCGCGCUGCUCCACUCUGGGACACUGAGAAGCAAUGCUUUGUGGGAAUGUUGACCAUUACAGACUUCAUCAUCAUACUUCACAGAUACUACAAGUCACCUAUGGUGCAAAUAUAUGAAUUAGAGGAACAUAAGCUUGAGACAUGGAGAGAGGUGUAUUUACAGGAGACCUUUAAGCCUCUAGUCAAUAUAUCACCUGAUGCAAGCAUAUUCGAUGCUGUCUACUCCCUGAUCAAAAACAAGAUCCACCGCCUCCCUGUCAUCGACCCUGUGACAGGGAAUGCUCUUUACAUCCUCACUCACAAGAGGAUCCUCAAGUUCCUCCAGCUCUUUGUGUGUGAAAUGCCCAAGCCAGCCUUCAUGAAACAGACCCUUGGAGAGCUGGGCAUCGGCACCUACAACCACAUAGCCUUCAUUCACCCCGACACGCCAAUCAUCAAGGCCCUGAACAUCUUUGUAGAGCGGAGGGUAUCUGCUCUUCCUGUGGUGGACGUGUCUGGGAAGGUGGUGGAUAUAUACUCUAAAUUUGAUGUCAUAAACCUGGCUGCAGAGAAGACGUACAAUAACCUGGAUAUCACAGUGACCCAGGCUCUCAAACAUCGCUCACAGUACUUUGAGGGAGUCAUGAAGUGUCACAGGCAGGAAACACUGGAGACAAUUGUGGACAGAAUAGUCAAAGCAGAGGUCCACCGGUUGGUGGUAGUGGAUGAGCACUCCAGCAUCGAGGGCAUCAUCUCUCUGUCAGACAUCUUGCAGGCCCUGGUGCUCAGCCCAGCAGGUAUAGACGCCCAGAACUCCUAACACCCCCCCCUCUCCUCUCUCUUUCUUUGUUCUGGAACCCUGGUCCCCUUCCCCACCCUGUUCCACUCUCCCAGACGUCUGCAGAGAGGAGUGCCUGCUGGAGUGAGGAGGAGGAGAGCUCUCCCAUAGAAGAGCUGGGGGGUCCACUGAGGUUUAAAGGCCUACUCGUACCACCCCAUGGCUGUUGUAGGGAAGCGGGAGAGGGUGGGAGGGGCCGGGGGUGCAGAGACCCCACACUGAUACACCCCAGCUGGGUAACCAAACGACUGGACGGAUGUCUUCCAAGAGGCUAAGCCCCCACACCAGAGGGUCCACCGCUUACUGUUGGAAAUUAAUUUAUAUUUUUGGACAAAUUGAUGACACACACACAAACGUACACGAACACACAUGACCAGCAUGAGUUGGACCUCUGGUUUCAAGCUGGUCUGGUUUUGGAGUGUGUGUGGAAGAAGAGAAAUAUGUGUUAGGUUUGGGUUUCCUGUGUCAAGCUGCUCUGUCAUGUUUCAGCAUUUCCUAAUCUAUAGUGUCAACUCCAAAAGGCUUGUGUCCUAGACGGAAUGAUGUCAUCAUCCUCCUGAGGAUUUUUCGCAAAGCGGCUUUAACAAUUCAAAUUAUUGUGAGGAAAUGUAUCGAGCACCUCAACAAUUUCAUACCCAAAGUGAAUAGCCCUGUAGAAUUGGAGAAUGAUGAGUUUUAACAGUGUUGUUCUGGUGAAAGCAGCAUUUGGGCAGAUAAUCAAUCCUAACUCGUUUUGUGCCUUUGUCAUGCCUUGCCCUGACCAAUGCAGAACAACCAUGGUCAUGCCAAGUAAAGACUGCUGUUUUUUAUUGAAACUAUAGAGAAACAUGAAUGUUUACUUGAUAACUUUAUUGGGAUUGGUGGGUGAGGGGAGUAUUUUUAGUAAUGUGCUUUGGAGGGACAGAAAAACAAACAAACAAAAAAACAUUAUUAUGCUAUUAUUUUUAUGCUUUUUUUUUUUCUCUCUUCUGUUUCCCCUAACUCAUUGUUGGCAAUCCCAGUGUUGAGAGCCAUUUCUUUUUCCUGCUGUAUGCAUCUGAAACACAGUUACCAAAACCAUGUUGAACCAAAUGGCGGCUCACAGCAGUGGGCCUCUACUGUGCCCUGAGCAUGCAGCUCAGACAGAACUCAUCUCGUGUUUCACUGUAAAUAAGAUGGUUUUUCAGGAAAAGUGCCAGAGCAAGCUUUAUUUUUAUGAAUGUUACAAAAAAAAUGUUUAAAAAGACUGAUGUUUUAAUAUUAUUUUUGAAAAUAUAUUGUGGAAACAUGUUAAAUUCAAUGUUUGUAUUCAGAUCAAGAUGUACUGUACAUGUGUAAGCAUGAGGAAAUACACUUUAACAGUUAUGAAUGUUGUUUGUUUUACCAUUUUGCAUUUUUAUGGUAACAGAAAAAUAAAUGACACUGAAUGUA